UGCAAAUUGUGGCAUAUUGGUUAGACACUUAGGAUGAUUGAUAUAAGUUGUGGUUAUAGUAUUUUUUUUUUGAACAGGUUGAUGGUUCAUUGCUUGCUUGUCACAUAAGUGAACUUAGUGAUAUGUAGCUUGUUUGGUAAGGUUCUUAUAGGUUCACACGGUGUAACACAUGGCUAUGUGCUUUAUACAGGCAUAUCGCACGACCGUGUGGUCUAUUUGAUUUAGG
rnacentral:lncRNA from 1 species